CCUGUUUACAUGUUACCACAUUCACGCAUUUGUUCGAUGAUAGCAAAAGGGGUGGGUAGUUCAAUUGCAAGAAGAGAAUCAUUGCAUGAUUUUAAUCAAUUGUGCCUGAAUUUAGGCCUACAAGCACUUCAGCCUUUUGACGCCACUCAUGCUACGAGUAUACCAUAUAGAGGAUUUGUUUUUAUUUAUUUAUUCGAAACCAUUUUUAAUUUAUUGUAAUAAAUAUUAUAUUUUUUUAUUGUGAAGUAAUAUAAAUUUUGUUGAAUAUU